rnacentral:rRNA from 1 species
GAUGAACGCUAGCGGCAGGCUUAACACAUGUAAGUCGAGGGGUAUAGUUCUUCGGAGCUAGAGACCGGCGCACGGGUGCGUAACGCGUAUGCAAUCUACCUUUUGCAGAGGGAUAGCCCAGAGAAAUUUGGAUUAAUACCUCAUAGUAUGUGAGAAUGGCAUCAUUUUCACAUUAAAGUCACAACGGCAAAAGAUGAGCAUGCGUCCCAUUAGCUUGUUGGUAAGGUAACGGCUUACCAAGGCAACGAUGGGUAGGGGUCCUGAGAGGGGGAUCCCCCAACCUGGAACUGAGACACGGACCAGACUCCUACGGGAGGCAGCAGUGAGGAAUAUUGGACAAUGGGCGCAAGCCUGAUCCAGCCAUGCCGCGUGCAGGAUGACGGUCCUAUGGAUUGUAAACUGCUUUCGUACAGGAAGAAACACUGGUUCGUGAACCAGCUUGACGGUACUGUAAGAAUAAGGAUCGGCUAACUCCGUGCCAGCAGCCGCAGUAAAAC